GUGUGUGAAAGACCAGCAUUGGUUCUCACUCUUAUUUAAGGAGAACAUUCGACAAGUAAGCUAGCCAAUUCCAAGUCGUCAGCAUGAGUUCCAAUACAGUUUGUGUUCUACUGGUAACCUUUACCGUGUUAGUAAUAAUGUUUUCGUCUUACGCUUCGUGUCAAGAUGAUUAUAUUUGCUUGUACUCUCCUCUCACCUGCACUCGAGGGAUAAAAAAUACAGACUUCAAACGAGGGAUUCUGACUCGAGGAAAGCCUAAGUAUGUUUCUGAAAGAAAAAGAAGUAGUUUUGGCAAAAGACCGUAUAAGCUCCCGUAUAAGACAAUUAGAUGAUUCCUGUAGCACACUACUCACUUAUAUCCGAAUACGGUAUUGUAACUUGGUUUUAUCAUGAGGUCAAACGGAGAUGAAUCAAUGUUUAUCGAAGUAACAAUAUUUGUAUUAUGAUCAUGAGAUGAAAUUAAUUAUGAGAUGAAUCAGUCGAUAAAGUUCCAGUUACCAUGUAAAAUUGUUCAGGUCAAAGCCUCAGCAAAAAAAUAAAACAAUGAACUUCAAA